rnacentral:lncRNA from 1 species
UCUGUAACUUGUUUGCCUCUCCAGAGUCCGAACCUCUUUGCUUCCUCAAAACUCAAGAACACCUCUCAUCUAAAAACAAUAUCCUCCUAAACGGUCAGAAAAAUCACCUUUUCUCCUCUCAGACUAACACUCUCUCCUCUCAAGCUAAACUCCACUCCUCUGCAGCUCCUCGGAAUCUCUCUUCUUCUCUCGCUCCCUCUGCUUUUUUUUUUUUUCUCUCUCUAGUGUCCCUCUGUAACCAGCCUGCCCAGAGAGCUCCUGCCAGCAACCCAGGUACCUCCCUCCAC